CUGGAGACCUUUGGCCGCUGCUUACCAGGACAAGCUUGAACAUCCGGUGGUGCCACACCCGUUCCAGAUUGGAGACACCGUGUGGGUGCGCAGACACCAGACCAAGAAUCUCGAGCCACGGUGGAAAGGACCCUACACCGUCCUCCUGACUACCCCGACCGCCCUAAAGUGCACCAUAGACACUAUCAAGAGACUUACAGCCUGCUGGGUAUUGUCAGUGACCUACUGUCGGAACACGUGCAAAAAUGGAGCCGCGUGAGGAGAAUUCUGAGUGCUUGUGAGAAAACUCCAAGAAAGCAAGAGCCUCGUGACCUCCGUUUCUCCAAAACAAGUAAUUGUCCUUGGAAUGUGUUUGCAUGCAUCUCCAGGGCGCAGCAGAUAAGAGCGCGUUAACUUCAGAUCACUCAUCCCACCUGCACACGCUGCUCUCCCUCCAGGGUGUGCGCUUUGCUCAUGUGACGUUUCCCGAUGCUCUGAAGGAAGCUGGCGAUUGCACGUGACUGUAGUCCUCCUAGUGCAUCAGUUCUACUCUCCAGGUCCCACUGCCAACUAGAGCGGCAAACCGUCUACCGAUUAUUUAAAUAUAAAGAGGGGUGUGCUUGUGAAGUGUACAGACAGCAUGCAACUUUGAACAUACACGGACUUUAGUAUCUGCAGGAGUGUGCCGGUAGACAUCAUAGAUUCUCGCCCACCCCACCCCCAUUGUUGUGGAUUUUCUGAGCUCUGAGAGAUUUGAUGAAGACAUCCCAUUUAGAGCUGUGUUCCAAAGACUCUCUCUGCAUAAUGACUGGCUGUGGGUCUCUGACUCUGUUCCUGUCUUCUGCUGCAGAAGGAACAUCUCUGAUGACUGAAUAAGGCACUGAUCUGAGUAGGGCAGACUGUCAUUAGGAGUUAUUUAUUUAUUGCAUCCUCUCUCUCUCUCUCUCUCUCUCUCUCUCUCUCUCUCUCUCUCUCUCUCUCUCUUUUUUGACCAGGAUUGUUUGGCUUUACCCUAGGUCUCUGAGCUAUCUAGUCUCUGGUUCUUGGUCACUCAAACAGUGUCUGGCAUGGGUUCCAUCUCAUGGCGCGGGCCUUAACUCACAUCAGAAGUUGGUUGGUUACUCCCACAAGUUCGGAGCCACCAUUGCCUUAACAUACCUUGCAGGCAGGACAGGUUGUAGGUCCAAGGUUUAGCGGGUGGGUUGGUUUGGUAGCCUGAAGAGUUCCUUCCCACACUAAAGACUAGAGCGUAGGGGUGACGGCUCCAUGUAGGCAACAGCUCAGCUUCUCUAUGUUCAAUGAGUUGUGUGGGUGUAAAACCUGUGGGACGAAAAAACCAUGCCAGGAAGUUUAAUAAGGUAGAGAAGAUAGAGACCUGGAGACUCAGUGGGCACACACCUGAGGCUUAGGUGACUCCCCGCUCCCUGCCAGACUCCUGACUUGGAACACAUGCCAUGCUCACAUAAAAAAAAAUAAAAAUAAAUAAAAAUAAAAAAGAUGUGCCCUACGGUCACAUUGGCCCAAAACCGAGUUCCCCAUGCCAAUGAGGUGCCUAGAGGCCUGGAGGGCUCAGUCAAUAAGCUUCCCUUCCCAGACACUCCUCCCUGCAAAGGAUAUUUAAUCUCAGGCCCACCUGAGAAAUUAGGUAUUACCAUUAUGCAUCCAUUUUCUGCCAUCAUUGGUUAAUACUGCUUGGAACCAUGGACUGUCUAUUUUGUCAAGAUCCACCAUGAGAAUCUGCCAAGCUAAGGACAAUCACUUUGCGAGACAAGCCAGAGCUCCCUUGUCCCCUGGCCCUAAGGCCCCCAACUCCCUUCUCUCUUCUUCAGAGACUCCCAGCGGUGCCUGGAUGUCCAAGAGUCCCCCACACCCCUGAGAACCCCACAGCCCCAGCCUUGUCAUACCCCCACACCCCAACCCCGACCCAACCAGCUCGGGCUUUCCCACAUCUCAGACAGUGCUUGCCCACCCCAGGAGCUGUGUCUCAGCACUUCCAGACAGCCUAGCACCUGCCCUGCUGACCAACACCCACCCCUACUCACCCCUGUCAGUUUUAGAGAGCAACCCAUUGUCUUGGUAGCAGCCUGGGUUGUCUAGAGAUUUCCAUGAGACCCUCCUUGGUCAACAACUCAAUUGAAUGCACCCCAGUCCCGGUACUGGAAGCCUUGUUUGGUGAGAAGAGUUGGCCAGUCGGGACUCUGUCUCUCCCAUUAUUAGGAGGUCUCAUUAGGGUCACCUUCAUAUAUUUUAGGAAGUUUCCACUGCACUAGGUUUCCAUACCAUCCCUCAAAUGCUCCUUAAUUUCAGGUGUCUCUUCCCACAUUUCUUCCCUCAACCUUCCUUCCCCUCCCACUCUGUAGUGAUUUAAAUAUGCUUGACCCAGGGAGUGGCACUAUUAGAAAGUGUGGCCUUGUUGGAGUAAGCAUGGCCUUGUUGGAGGAAGUGUGUCACUGCAGGACACCAUGUCUUCUCCUGGUUCCUUUUGGCAUAAGAUGUAGAACUCUCAGCUCUUACAGCACCAUCUCUGCCUGGAUGCUGCCAUGCUUCCUACCAUGGUGAUAAUGGACUGAACCUCUGAACCUGUAAGUCAACUCCAAUUAAAUGUCCUUUAUAAAGGUUGCUUUGGUCAUAGUGCUUCUUCACAUCCAUGGAAACCCAAAAUAAGAUACCCUCUGUUGUGCCAGGGAGCAUUCAUGAGCCCCAAAAGAUCACCAAGGUGCUGAUUCUGUUG
ensembl:lncRNA